rnacentral:rRNA from 1 species
GAUGAACGCUGGCGGCGUGCCUAACACAUGCAAGUCGAGCGAAGCGCUUAAAUUAGAUUUCUUCGGAAUGACGAUUUUUGUGACUGAGCGGCGGACGGGUGAGUAACGCGUGGGUAACCUGCCUCAUACAGGGGGAUAACAGUUAGAAAUGACUGCUAAUACCGCAUAAGACCCCAGCUUCGCAUGAAGCGGUGGUCAAAACUCCGGUGGUAUGAGAUGGACCCGCGUCUGAUUAGCUAGUUGGUAAGGUAACGGCUUACCAAGGCGACGAUCAGUAGCCGACAUGAGAGGGUGACCGGCCACAUUGGGACUGAGACACGGCCCAGACUCCUACGGGAGGCAGCAGUGGGGAAUAUUGCACAAUGGGGGAAACCCUGAUGCAGCGACGCCGCGUGAAGGAUGAAGUAUUUCGGUAUGUAAACUUCUAUCAGCAGGGAAGAAAGUGACGGUACCUGACUAAGAAGCCCCGGCUAACUACGUG